CCUCCGGACUGUUGAACGACCCAAGUAGCAUAGCGAAAGGGAACAGGAUGAAAGAGGAA
rnacentral:ncRNA from 1 species